AAUAGAUACCCCGGUAGUCCACGCCGUAAACGAUGAGUGCUAAGUGUUAGAGGGUUUCCGCCCGUUUAGUGCUGCAGCUAACGCAUUAAGCACUCCGCCUGGGGAGUACGGUCGCAAGACUGAAACUCAAAGGAAUUGACGGGGGCCCGCACAAGCGGUGGAGCAUGUGGUUUAAUUCGAAGCAACGCGAAGAACCUUACCAGGUCUUGACAUCCUCUGACAACUCUAGAGAUAGAGUGUUCCCCUUCGGGGGACAGAGUGACAGGUGGUGCAUGGUUGUCGUCAGCUCGUGUCGUGAGAUGUUGGGUUAAGUCCCGCAACGAGCGCGACCCUUGAUCUUAGUUGCCAGCAUUUAGUUGGGCACUCUAAGGUGACUGCCGGUGACAAACCGGAGGAAGGUGGGGAUGACGUCAAAUCAUCAUGCCCCUUAUGACCUGGGCUACACACGUGCUACAAUGGAUGGUACAAAGGGCUGCAAGACCGCGAGGUCAAGCCAAUCCCAUAAAACCAUUCUCAGUUCGGAUUGUAGG
rnacentral:rRNA from 1 species